rnacentral:lncRNA from 1 species
AUGGGAUGGGGUCUGGGCAGCAGAGCUGGAUCCCCCCCACUCUCCCCCCAUGGUGUAGGGCCAAAUCGUGCUGCCACCCCGUCAGACCCUGGGGCAGAUCCAGACCCCAUCACCACCGUAUUGCUGGAGAAAUUGAGGUGUGCAAGGAAAGGCAGGGAGCUGCCCUCGGCUCUUGCCCUGGGGCUGUGCAUCCUGCCUCAUCUGGACAGAGCUGCACCUAUCCCAGGGGGUGCCCCCCCAGCCCAGCUGGACACACAAAUCCCUGCAGGGGUUUUAGCAAGGGUCUCUUCUCUUGCAGGGGUUCCUGGUGCUAUCCCGGGAGGGGGAGUCCCAGGAGGAGGCUUUUUCCCAGGUGCUGGGGUUGGAGGUUUGGGAGCAGGGCUCGGGGCUGGAGGAAAACCUCUCAAACCAGGUGCUGCAGGUCUGCUCCCAGGAGGUGGCUUCCCCGGGGGCGUCUUCCCAGGUGCUGCAUCCGCGGCUGCUCUUAAGGCUGCUGCGAAAGCUGGUGAGUGCUCAGGGUGCCUGCUCUGAUGCUGGGGGGCAACACUGGGCUUGGGCAUCCUCAGGGCUCUGGGGGCCCCCUCUAUGCCCAGCCUUUCCUGAGGAUGGGGGGGGCUGCAAGCAGGAGAUGUUGCUCUCUCUGCCAGCCCCACCUGGCGCCUGUUCUUGUGCUGAGAAAGGGGCUUUGGUCAAGCUGGAGCCACCAGGAGCAUGAAGCCCCCUGUCCUGGGACUGGGUCCCUUGUCCAAACCUGGGGGACACAUCUCCAGUGCUCCUUG